AAGCCAGGCAGCUGCACUUUCACGUUCGAAGCUGCGCGUAGAGGACGCAAGCGCGCGCGGCUGCGUAUUCACUUUGGAAUCUUCUUUUUCGUUUCCUGGCGCUCUCGCCACGCACAUAUACAUACACACACACAGAUAGAGUGGGCGACUGGGCGUUACUUGUACUCUACCUUUCUCCCUCCCCUACCCCCAUCCAUACAUACGCGCUUGCACUGUCGACGGAUCUUGAUAAGCCCUUUGAACACACAUAGACGUGAAGCUCAGCUCAGAACGUGCAGCGCCAUUGAAGGCCAUCCUCCUCCUCAACGCGGUUGCGAGGAAGUCUCAGCCACACACACACACACGCAGACACGCACGUGUAAUCACGCAGAGCCAUAAACCUUUUCACCACCGCAUAGAGGAACUUUAUCAAACGGCGUCUCGCUCGCGCGCGCGUGUGCACACAGACGUAGAGGAGGUGAAACAACGCAACAACAACAGCACAUACUCAGAAAACAGUGCGCCUAUACCGAUUUAAGGGCACGCUUGCUGGGAGGGGUCACGUGGAUCACCACCCACCCACGUCUACCCCCACCUUCAUCUCCAUUCCUUCUUCCCACCGCCACAAAAUGCCGUUUCCUUCGGCGGCGUCCUUCACGCAGGCAAAGUGGCUCGCCUUCUUUGCUGAGCUGACAGCCAAGCUGACGCACCACAAUGCACUCGUCGUCAUGGAAGGUGCUGAGCUGCUGAAGCGGCUGCUGCUGUCUCGCGUGUCGAUUGCGGCGGUGCUGCAACAAGGCGACCUGCUCGUGCGCCUGCUUGACGCGUGGCGAGGCUGCGUCCUCGCCGAGCACCCGAGCAAGUUUCUGCAUCACCGCGAUGAGACCAACUCCGCCUUCCCGGCACCGCCAUCACCGUCAGCGGUCGUCGCCCUCAACGAUGAGCUCAGCUUUGUCCUCGCCGAGUCCAUCUCGCAGUGCAUCGACCUCAUGGUCUCGCUCCACGCAGACGGCGACCCGUACUACAGUCUGCUGGUCUUGGCCCGCGCAGGCCCCAUGCUGGAGGUGCUUGUUGAUGUGAUACGGAUGGCGCCGCCGCAGAUCUACGGCAUCACGGCGAGUCUUCUGCAGCAACUGCUGGCACUCCCGCUUGGGCGUGACUCGGUCGGCGGCGCAGAUGGGGCGCGCGGCGAGGGCACACAGCGGGGCUUUGACAAGGCAACGUUAGCUCAGCUGCGGAAGUCGAUCCCGCUGCAGCAGCAUGUCCGCUCCCUCGUGGAGGCAAUCCAGGGGCACGGGGUGCUGCUGCAGCACGCCGCCGACACACUGGCAGAGCUCCUCGCGAGGCAGCAGGGACCUCGCCGAUUUGCUGCUAUCGCUCUCUUCAACCAAGCCUCGAAGCGACUUCGCAAGCAUCAGCUUCGGCGCGGCGGUGCAUCCUCUGCGACGACGUCUGCGCCAGGCAGUGACGCCAUUCCUGGCAUGCCGCCACAAAGCCGCUGCGACGCGCGGGAGUCCACUGUGGACGACUCCGACUUAAAUGUCACCAUCACCGGAGCGGCGCCGGCGCACAGGGCGUCACCGUCGCCGUCACCGUCACCUGGUGCUGUUACGCCGUGCGCGCUCGAUGAUUUGGAGCGUGGACUGCGAUCACCUGCAAAGCGCCGCCACGGCGGUGCAGCGGCGCCGCUGGGUGAAGCAGAGGAAGCUGGUGGCGCUGCUGCUGCUCGAGGUGGCGUCUCCCUUGCAAGGGAUGCAGCGCGAUUUCCCUCGCCACCCGCCGCGAACCCUGCCGCGGAUUCGGACAAGCCACCAGCACCGCCCUCGCCGUCGCACGACAUAAGUGACAUGGUGGAUGCCGAACCGCAGCGCCUCGCGUGUGCGGUGCCGCUGACCGUGGCCGAGGAGGCACUGCGGCACCUCGCUUCGUCUCGCUCGCAUGACGACUUCUUUGCCGCCUUUGACUGGCUCUGGUGUUUGACUGUCGCCGACGCGCCCGUUGUCGGAGCGGCGCUGACGCCGGAGAUGCUUCGCCGCAGCCUCGGGCGAUACCUGACGGCAGCUCCGCGGACCCGCCGCGAUCGUAUCCUGUUCACACUUCUGCUGCUUUGGAUUGGCCAUGUGCACUCUGUAAACGCUCUGCGCGAGGAGACGCAUAGCUGCGUGCUGGAGGUAUCUGCCUCGGCGCUGCUGCCCAUGCUGCGCACCGAGCUGGCCAAGGAUGGCGAGCGAGCGUCCUCUGGACAAGGGCGCGACAACAGCAGCAAGCAAGGAAUUUCCUCGCUGACUGUCUCGGCCAUCACACCGACGAACACGAACAUUGCGGCCACUACGAGUGCUACGAUGCUAUCGACCCAAGAGACAGUGGGCCCUCUGGGUUACGGCGACAUCGGCGUUGACCCGAUGGUGGCCGGCCUUUCUCUCGACCCCUCCUCGUUCCGCCGUGGAGAGGGCCGCGACAACGGCAGCUACCCAAGUGCGAUUGGCUCCGCGUUGCUCCCGUACGCAGCGGCCCGCAAGGCGCAGGAGGCGGCGGUGCUGCUACGUCCCUCCAUCGGGGUGAUUUUGCUCUCCUUUCUGCUGAACAUCCAUGCUGGCGCCGCAGUCCACGCACAACGCGUGUGGGUCUCGCAGGGGCGUGUCCUUGAGGUGGCGCAGAUGGCCGUCCGGCGCGCGCAGGGCUGCCGAUCUGCUCUCCUCGACACUCCCACCAACAUCGAUGGUGCUCUCUCGGAUGAGGUCUAUCUGGAAUACGCGCUACGCAGCGUGCGGACCGACGCGACGACGGUGGCGGUGCUCGGGUGCCGUCUGGUGGCCGCCGUGCUGGGGGAUGAACUGCGCUGGGGCGCGGCUGCGCGCGACAGCUCGACAGCGAAGCCCGCACCGACGGAAAAGGCUCAGGCGGAAGGGAACGCCGCCGCCGCGUCGAUUCAGGCUGAACUGGCGCUUUCUGCCCAGUCACUGAUACCGCUGCUGGUCGACAUGGCGGUCAACAACCCUGAUGUUACGGCCGCGCAGGAGAGUGGGGCGGCUUCUCCGGUGCAUCAUGUGCCCUUGAAUUUGCGCUGCUCAAGGUACACCUCUCUUGGCGAGUGCUCCCUAGUGGCGCUGGACGCGUGUCUGCAGUAUCACGCGCAAGCAGGUCAUCUGCGCAGCCGCGGAGAUGUUCCGAUGAGCGUUUCGGGCUUCGCGAUCGAGGACCUUGUUCGAGUUCUUCCGAGUCUCACGUGUGCGUCGCAGUGCAGCGUGCACCCCCCGGUGCGCGCGGUGCCGUAUCGUCUUCUGUUGUACGUGAGUCAGCGCCUGGAGGAGGUGCUGGUGGUUCUCAGACACAUGCCCUCGCUGGCCAGCGCAGCUGUCUCGUGCGUGUUGGACUACGGUCCCCGCGCCGCACAGUGGGAGGCGGCUGCCGCUGCUGAAUGGCUGACGGUGCUGGUGGACUUGCUGAUCGGCGCAGAGACAGCGAAACAGACCGCAGCGCCAUCGUGCGAGGGGAAGCCGCCAUCUCCGUCGCAACAGCGCCGUCGCCUGCCCACUGCGGCCGAGCUGCUGAACGAGUACUUCCACUUCGAUGACAGCCCCCUCUCUCGCAAGCUUCUGCUGACGAUUGCGUCGGGAAGGCGGAGCACCAGCACUGGGAGCGCCUAUGCAGUGAACGCACUGCUGCAGCUGGCCACGCACCUGCAGGCCUACCUUCAGGCUCGGCGCCGCCGCGCCCCGCACGAGCGGCACCGCAAACCUCAGCAGCCAUCACCAGCAUCAUUGAGCAGCGUGACGAGGGAAGCAGCCGCAGUGGAGGAGGCAGUCACGCUUCCUCUCUGUCCAGCUGGUGCUUCGUCGUUAGCACAGUGGGUGCUACUCCUACAGAGUAUCACCGCGGAUAACAGGCGUCUCACACGCAUCUGCAGCGCCUUCAAGCACCCGAUCGAGGGUGGCCACAGCGUACUUCGUCGGGGCAGCGGUGGCGUUGCAAAGGAUGCGUGCACGCGCGCUAUCACGGCGGCGGAGCAGAUCGCGCUCCAGUACAACUUCACGGGAACGCUGUUCCGCGCUCUGCAAUCGCUGCUGUGCGACGCCGCAGCUGGGGUGCCGGCAGCCUUGCUGAGCUCCUGGCUUCUCUGCGAUGCCGUAGCAGCCGCACUGAUGCUGCCGACGCCAAGGGAUGUGAUCGCUUUGCUGUCUACGCGUUUCCAGGCAGCGCGCGCGCCGGAAGCCGGGGACGGUGAUGCGGCGCAUCUGCCCCCGUCGUGGAUCCCGUCGCCUGCGCUCGUGUUCAGCUACCAGGCUGCUAUCCAGUGGGCUAGUCGCGUUGGCGCUUCCUGGCUGACGGGUUCGUACGGUUCUGCUGCGCAGUAUCAGGUUGGCGCCUCUGACGGGACUCGAGGGCACGGCGGCCUGCCCUUGAAACACGGCUGUGCGGGUCUGGUGGAGGACAUCUGCGCUGGCGCCUUGCGUGCCAUGCAGGAGAUGACGCCGAAUGUGUCGCAGCGGACGCGGUGCCUGGCGGCGACGCUUGUGUCCGCGGUCGUGGACGCGUGCCCAGCAGAGCAGCUCGGCGUGCUGGAAGCCCGCGGUGCCGCGCUGUUUGCGGCGUCCGCCACGCUGCGGCGGCUCCCCUGCGUGAGCGGCCUUCAGUGUCGUCUGCUGCGCCGCGUGCGAAGCGCAGCCGUGCACGCGGCUACCUCCGGCGACGGAUGGCUGGAGGAGAGCCUUACCUCCCUCCGACACGUCGUCGAUCGUCUACAGGAGAAUGCGCAGCUGUGGCCGAGCUCGGCAAAGAACGGAGGCCACAGCUCCCACCGCCGGCUUUCUCAUCAGCCGCACGAUGCCGCACAGGCUGUGAGAGAGCUGCAGAACUUCCAAGUGCUGGUAUCCUUGCUAACGAGUCUGGUCUCUUGCACCGGUGCGACCAGAGCGGAAGGCGCCGCGCGCGCCUCUAGCCCAGCGAUGGAAGACGAGAUGAGCAGCCCCCCGCAUCGGCAGCUACUGCUCACCGACGCCCAGCGGCAGACUCUGUGCGCCGCGCUAUGUGACGCGCUGCGUGUCCAUCAGCUGCAGCCCACCGUCGUGCUUGCGCUGCGAAUAAUGGCCGACACCCACGAGGGCCGCCGUUGCAUCCUCACCGAGAUUGCCAGCACGGGCGAUCCGCUGGGCCGCACUCUGUUUGGCCGCCUCCUGGCGCUGACGCUUCACAUGCCGAGCCGCUGGGUAGGAGCGGACUCCGCGGCCGGGACCAGCUCGAGCAGCCGCGCCUUUUCGCCGACAUCAACGCCGCAAGAUCGCCACCGCGCCCUCAAGUCUUCACCUUCGCAGCAGCGCUCGCCUUCCAUCACAGGCGCAGGCGCCACGGCUGCCUCUUCGGCAUCUCCGCCGCUGCGCUCCCCUCCCCGCAGCGAGGCCCCUCAGCCCGCCGACCGUGACAUCGUUUGUGUUGCGGGCUGCGACGUAUGCACAAUGCUGUGUGGCUCGCGGUUGCAGGAGGGUGUUGGCGGCGCUAAACCCCUUGCAGAUGCCGGGCCAUCCUCUGCGCCGACAAGUACCGUUUUCCUUUCCGCGUUCGUGAAGCAUCGCGGCGUGGAGUUCCUCGCACGUGCGGUGGUGGAGAGCGAUCGCGAGCUGCGGCGCCACGGGCGCGAUCUCGCUGUGCCGCUGCACUGGCUACGCCUCGUGGCAGCGCUGUCAUUGCACCGCUCCAUAGCCAAGUCAUUUGUGCAGCAAUCCGACUUCUUCAGUGUCCUAAUGGAGCUUGCCGGAACGCCAGCGUCGGCGCUGCAUGCCCCCGCAGCCACUCUUGCCCUCCUCGCCAUUCGCAACGUGUGCUUUUCCGAUGGGCUGAAAUCGACGCUCUGCCAGGACGCGCGGGUGUUGCUGACGCUGAAGGCGGCCGGCAUGGGGAUCACAGCAGUAAGCCAGCUGAUCGAGUGGCGCCCGCCCCCAUCGCCACCGCCGAACUCAAAGCGGCCACGCACCACAGCUCGACAAACAGCGACGGGCGGCGCGCCGCCUCCCACCUCUCGCGGUGGUGCUCGCCUGGAGGUGAUGCUGCGCGAGGAUGUCAUCGAUAUGGAGAACAAGACGGAGGUCGACUGGGCGAAGCAGGCGUGCGUCUACGCUCGCGGCAUGACGCGGCUCGGAGAGGAGCCGUUGCCCAACAUAGAAGAUUCUGCCUCCUGUGACGCAGCUGGCGACGUAGUGACAGCCGAGAGAAAGCCGCCAAGCGCUGCACUGGGCGGAGCGUCCGGCGCGGACCACGUUGCGGCCGCACCCCUGCCGCGCCGCUUGUUUGGGGACAUCACGAAUCACUCUCGCGCUGCUGAUGUGGGCGGCUCUCUGCUCGAGAUCGAUGCCACUGUGAGUGGUGGCUCUCCUGCAAAGCAGGUCGGGGACAACAUGCUUCCGGUGCUGGUGGCAGCAACUGACUCAGAGGCACAUCUCCGCCGCUAUCUGGCAGCCACCGCCAUCGCCUCGCUGUGGUUUGACAACCAGCGUGGUCGCAGCGCCAUCGCACGCGUGCUUGCCGCGACGCCGUGCUGGAGCAUGGAGGACGUGCAAGCAGCAAUCAGGGCUUCCGUUGCUUCCCCUAUGGGUGCGCAGGUUUCGUGAGGUGCGCUUCAAGAGGCGGAGGCGGGGACUUUUCGAAUCAGAGGUGGACGCCGGUGGCUGGCGGUGAAGUCGAUGAGCUCCGCCAUGUGACCUUCCACGCCCCAGCUGGCCCCCCAUCCCCACCCCUCCCUCUCUGUGGACAGCGGCGACGGCACCGGCUCCAUUCUCAGACGAGCACAUACACAUCGUUUUGCACGGCUAUCCGGUGCUGCGCCGCUGUCGUUUCUCUCUUUUUUGUGUGUGCGUGACCGCGCUUAUCGAAUAUUCUGUAUAGAUGCACACGCACGCAGCGACGGACGUUACGGUUGUGGCGCCCUCAUCUCCUUCGCCCUGUAUGAUGACGAAACCGAUUUCUCUUGUAUUAACUUGUCGUCGACCAUCCUCCGUCGACAUCUCGCAUGUGCCCCGUCCCGCCCUCUCCUGCUGGACCUCAUCUUCUCACAUGGUUUACGCGCCCGUGCGCGUGCGUGGGGGCCGCGGUGAGAGUGAUGUGCACACAAUCGCCGAAAGGGCACAUGCGUGGGCUUUUCAACCCCUGCUGCGACUGCUACCAGUGCUGCGAGAUUCAGUGUACCUUCGGCCACGCGACUAGUCUCUCCCCCCCUCCCCUCCCCUGAAAAAAACGAAAAAAGCGAUUCGAUCAAAAUCUGCACGUGCGCCUUCCUUCAACUCCGCGAAUCAUCGCAGGAACGCGUUUGCUCGAUCCCGCAGCCUCUCGGUGCGUCUCACGGUGAUGCUCUCUGCUUCCUUCAUUGAGGAGCAGACGGAAGAGGGCUUAGGAAAAGGGUGUGACGAUCCUCCUUCUGGACUUGUUCCACGUCAGACACAACCUGGUCACUAUGUUCUCUGUGCAUGUACAGACACCCUCUUUCAGACUGGCGCGCCUUCCUUCGUCUUCGUCUCGUAUCUCUUCUCGUGCAG
rnacentral:misc_RNA from 1 species